GAUGAACGCUGGCGGCGUGCUUAAUACAUGCAAGUCGAGCGAACGGACGAGAAUUUUGCUUCUCUGAUGUUAGCGGCGGACGGGUGAGUAACACGUGGCUAACCUACCUACUAGACUGGGAUAACGUCGACAAACCGGAGCUCAUACCGGAUGAUUAUUAGAACAGCAUGGUACAAUAGAAAAAAACGGCGUUGCUGUAACUUAUAGCUGCACCUGCGCUGCAUGAGCUAGUAGGUAAGGUAACGGCCUAUCAAGGCAACGCUGCGUAGCCGACCUGAGAGGGUGAUAGGCCACACUGGAACUGAGACACGGUCCAGGCGCAUAGGGGAGGCGGCAUUAGGGAAUCUUGAGCAAUGGGCGAAGACCUGACGAAGCAGGACCGAGUGAGUGAUGAAGGUCUUCGGAUCGUAAAACUCUGUUAUUAGGGAAGAACAGUUGUGUAAGUAGCUGAGAACAACUUGACGGUACCUAAACAGAAAGCCACGGCUAACUACGUG
rnacentral:rRNA from 1 species